rnacentral:lncRNA from 1 species
AAUAAAUAUGCAACAGAGAAGUCUGCAUCAAUAUUUACCUGGUUUCUACAAAAGCAAGUAUGUCAAUUAGAAAAGAGCAAAGAGUGGAGAGAGAGUUGACCCUGAUGGCUUCAGGCUGGUACUCCUGGGAAGACUUACAAGUGUACUUGAAAGAGAUAAUUUGGAAGGAAAGACUGAAACUGAAAAUCACAAGCAAAUACUUUGGUGCUGGUAAGCAUACAACACAGAGACACAUGUCCCUUUUCUAGUGCUUAAUGUGCCAGUCAGGUUUUGCAUCUACAGAGGUAGAUAGAAUUGAAUAGAAGUAAAGAGCUAAAAGGCUGCCUACACAAAAUUCGAAGUCUGUUGAGAGAAAGAGGUCAACUUAGCAAGUUCAGAGAACAGUUCCCUGUGGAAAAAGGUGACUUCUGAGUGAGCUGUAAGGCCAGGAUGAUCAAAGAAAUUUUAGGAGGAGAUUCACCUCAUUUGAUAAUACAUUGAUUGCUUGGCUAUAAUUCACACUCCCUUCAUUACCUCAAGUCUUCAGACAAGACUUUACAAAAGGUUUGGAGGUAAGAAAAGCUUAGUAUAAGGUUUGAGGUUAGGCAUGGUAGCUCAUGCCUAUAAUCCUAGUGCUUUGGGAAGCUGAGGCAGGAAGAUUGCUUGAAGCCAGGAGUUCAAGACUGGCCUGGGCAACAUAGCAAGAUCCCAUCUCUACAAAAAAAAAUUGAAAAAAAAAAAAAAAAAAGAUUAGCCAGGCAUGGUGGUGUGUGUCUGUAUUUCAAGCUACUAGGAAGGCUGAGGUGGGAGGAUCAGUUGAGCCCAGGAGUUAGAGGCUGCAGUGAGCUAUGAUGAUGCCACUGCACUCCUGGGAGACAAAGUGAGGCUCUGUCUUAAAAAAAAAUAAUAAGCUAAUAAAAAAGCAGGUUUAGAGUGAUUAGGAGCUUGAGGGGGGGUAAGAGAAAAGGGAAUAGGGAACACAUCUGGGCCAGAAUGAAGCUGCAAGCGUCAUGCAGCUAUGGGAAUCACUGCUAGAGAUGUUGAGAAUAGAAGGCACAAAAAUUCAGAAGCAAAAUUCUCCAUGAAAAUGUAAGCCCCUAUAAUCUCAGUGAGGGCAUUCGAUUUCUUUUUGAAUGCAACUGAGAGAGUUAAUAGUUUUAUUUGUUUUGUGUUUAGGUAUCGAGGGGCCAUGUGACUUCUGGGGGUAUAGAAUAGAAUAUCUGUAUUAUUAGAGUUAAAAAGAUAAAUCUAUCAAAAAGUAAAAUGAAAAAAUAGCCACAAACCAUUAAAUAAGAUAAUAGAAUUGAGAUAAAAUAAAGCAGUUAUCACAUUGAAUGUGUACAGUUAAACUUGCUAUUAGGUUGGGCAAAAUGGCUCACAUCUGUAAUCUCAGUGCUUUGGGAGGCCAAAGAAGGAGGGUCACUUGAGGCCAGGAGUUCCAGACCAGCCUGGGCAAAAUUGCAAGACCCUGUCUCUAAAACAAAUAAAUAAUAAAUAAAUAAAUAAAAAUCUGGGCAUGGUGGCACGUUCCUAUAAUCCUAGCUACUUGGAGGCAGAGGCAGAGGAUUGCUUCUGGCCAGGAGCUUGAGAUUACACUGAGCUAUAAUUGCUCCAGUAUACUCCAGCCUGAAUGAUAGAAUGAGACCCUGUAGCUAAAAACAAAAAACCAACAACAACAAACAAAACAAACAAAAACCCUUGCUAUUAAAUCACAAGACAGAGACUUGCGCUCCAUGGAAGGAUGUAAUAGGUCAUAAUAGCCCAAUGCUUUGGCUGCAAUAACGAAAGAAGAAUACCAAGAUUUUCCAAAAUUAUAUAUUUAAAGACAUAGGAGAAUUGUGGUAACAAAGAGACUAGAUGAGUUGAAAUUCUAAUUGUGAAGUGAACUUGCAAUUACCAGCUCUUUCCUUUGCUGGAUCAAUGGGCCAAUUUGGUUAAAACAAGAAACUACUAUAUGCUGUUUGCAAGAGACAGACGUUAAAUUCAAUGCUGUUUAUAAGAGACUUAUUGAUAAGGACACAGGAAAAUGGAAAAACAAAAGAAUGAGAAAAGAUAUGUCAUGCAAACACUAAACAAAAGCUAGCUGGUAUAGCUAUAUUAAUAUCACAUGAUGGGACUUAUGGAAAGAAAUGUUAAUAGAGACAGAGUUUUCAUAAUAAGAGAGCCAAUUCAUCAAGGAAACAUGAUAAUUUUAAAUUUGUAUACACCUAACAUAGUUAAAAUAUGUACAGCAAAAGUUCAUAGAUCCAGAAGUAGAAAUUGGUCAUCCACAAUUAUAGUCAGAGAUUUUAAUACACCAUUCUCAGCAAUUGAUAAUAAUAAAUAAAGAAAAAUAUUAAUAAAAACAUGGAAGAUCUGAACCUGAUUCACAAGUGUAGAACAUCACACUCAAUAACUGCAGAACACACAUUUUUUUUUCAAGUUUACAUGGAACAUUUUUUUUUUUGAGACAGAGUCUUUCUCUGUCACCCAGGCUGGAGUGCAGUGGCAUGGUCUCAGCUCACUACGAGCUCCGCCUCCUGGUUUCAUAUCAUUCUCCUGCCUCAACCUCCCAAGUAGCUGGGACUACAGGCGCCUACCACCAUGACCAGCUAAUUUUUAGUAUUUUUAGUAGAGAUGGG